CUUAGUAAUGCUCACCCAAUUACCUUUCCUAGUAUAUCUUCAUCAUGUUAAAGUGUUUGAGAACUGCUUUGGAGAUUCUAUUAAGUCCAAAUGAGCAUUAAAAAGGAGAGAGAGAGAGGAAGAAGUAUCUCUUGAGAAAGUACAUCCUAUUCCCAAGUGUGAAACCCUUUGUUAUACAAGACGUGCCGCAAGAAAUGAGAGGAGUAAAAGACCUUCUCCCAAGUAUUUGGAACUGACCCUCAGCAGUGAUUGUUCCAAGACGUAGGCCAUGACAAGCAAAAUUGUCAGUACUGGCCUAGAGAAUGGCAAGCAGGAGCCCUUCAAACAAGCAACAUGAAUAAAGGCUCAGGGGGAAAAAAGAGAAGUUCAGCAACAGUUGAGUCUCCUACUGCUGGAAAUAACAGGACUUUUGUUUUCUAUUUGAUUGGGAAGUGUUAGAAUGGCAACAGUGACAAAUCCUAUGGCAAAUCUUUAUGCGAAGGUGCUAAGAAUUCAGUGAUGAAAACAUGAUGUCUCCUAGGCAUGGAAAUAACAUUGUACUGAUUUCUUCGUGACAAUUAAAUCGUGUAGAAUUUAGAAGCAAUUUUUUUAACAUUUACUUUAGUAGUUUAUUGGACUCUUUCCCCCAUUUCCAAUUUUUUGAAUUAUGAGACAAUUUUUUUCAUCUAAUUCUCAUUAGUUUU